rnacentral:lncRNA from 1 species
CGACCGCGUGGGAUGCGCUAACAUGCACGCCACUGCGAACGGUGUGACUGACGAGGACCUGGAUGAGCUUAAGGGAUCCAUGGAGCUUGGCUUCGGGUUCAACGAGGAGAACGGAGGCCAGAACCUUUGUGACACGCUCCCUGCCCUCGAUCUGUAUUUCGCCGUCAACCGACAGCUAUCUGAGCCAAAGAUGCGGGUGUGCAGCCGCUCAUUGCCUUCCCUUUCUGUGGUGACCUCCUCAUCAUCCAUGCACUCCGGCACACCGAGCCCGGCCGGCAGUCCUACCGCUCAGCCCUCCCUCCUUGACUCAUUGAAAAUUAGCAGUCCAGGUCAGUAACGUUGUAUGUUUCCUUGUUAAUUUCUUCCUAGUAUAGAUUAUAAAAGAACCACCAGCUUAUGUUAUUAUGUGGUCGGCUAUUUGGUCCUUUGACUCAUGCAGCAGGCGAGAACCCGCAGCUUAUCAAGACAAGGCUAAGGCAGUGGGCUCAGGUAGUGGCUUGUUCAGUGAAGCACUCCAGCUGAGAGCGCUGGUUGCAAUGAACCACCCAUCCUGCAGAACCGUUGUACAUCCAAGUGUUCCAUUAGACGACGAGGGAGAGGACAUGACCUGUGGUGCAAUUAACACAACGUCGUAACCUUGUUGCUCUGGUGACGCCCAUGGUUGUUGUGCAUAGUUUAGUCUGUAUGUAUGUGUUGGCAACAUUAAUGCACCGCCCCCUGUAUUGACAGGACAACAUUUGAUGCAAGGACAUUCUUCUUGUUCACCAACUUCUUUAGAAACACUAACUCUUGCUGAAACAUUUCCAUAAAAAACUAGGCAUGCACACUGGCAAGAUAUAUUCGACUAAAACACACUCAUCCAAGGAGACAAAUAUCCUCCAAAAACCAUCACUAACUGUUUUGUACAGAUUGUAGGGGAGAAAAGUUGGGCCGAUAAAAUUUUGGUUUUGAAUCAGAGAUUUUAGAUGGGCAUAUGUAAUACAACACUGAAUGUCUGAAAUUAAAUUGGGCGUUCCAAUACAGUACUUGCACCUCUGACUGCUGAAGAUGUUCGUUAAAUAUGCAUACGCUGUGUGAAUUACUUGUCCACGACACAAGUUAAAUGAUGUUAUCAUC